rnacentral:lncRNA from 1 species
GAAAGCACUUUGACAAGCAAUAUGUUGUGUGCUGCAGUGCUUGGUUUUAGUCCAAAGAGAGAAGAGCAGCAGAAAGGAGGUCCAACACAUGUAGUGUCCUGAGAACUGAGAGAGAAGGAACAGUAACUUUCAGACUGAAUAAUCCAGAUUCAAGAGAUGCUUCCAGUUAUAAAGGGUGGAGAAGUCCUGACACCUUCACCUCUUUGGAUAUUUGCAAUUGCACAGUUGCAGGUUUUGUUCUCCUGGAUCACAUCUGCAGCCUUUGCAACAGCAGGAGCUCUUCAGCAUGAUACACAUGCCACAUCCGAAGAUGUAUUCCAAGACCUUCCCAGUCAGUUGUGGCAGGGUUCCCUAAUACAGAAAGUCUCUUUGAAGAGUGGGCAGAAGAGGAAUUCUCACAGACUUCGAGACGCGACAUUGAUGAGAGCAUGCUGUCUGUUGCCUAAACAAUUUCAAUUGAUUUUAUUAAGAAAAAGAAAUCUUGGAAUAGCAUCUGCUUUAAAAGACAAUAUCUCUCUUUCUUAUUCUGACAUAAUAAGUGCUGACAGAAAAGAGCACCAAAUGCAUCUUCUGCGAGACGUCUCAAGUAUCUGACAACUGCAUUCAGUGCUGCAUCUGGGCUGGAAUUUUCAAGAGUGCAAAGGCGCAGGUAGUCAAAUUCCAAGAGAGUUGGGGACUUUGUUCUGGAGGUGUUUUGAAGCUUAGACUUACUCCUUGCUCCAAGAAAUAUUCUUUGCUGCAUGGUAAGCCUCACUGAACAAACAAGUAAUGUUGUUUCCCAGGCCAAGAGUACUCCAAAGUAUAGUGGAUCAAAUACAGGAUGACAUGCACAAGAUAGCCUUGCUAAAUAAGUUUAUGAAAUCCUUGCUCGUUUACUCAAAGAAGACAAUCAACAAAUGGUUUAAUGGAAACAAACCCUAUGGUGAGUGGUAUCAUGGCCAUGGAAAGAGAGGUAUCAAUCCCAGGUGGUCUGAAAGGCCAAGUCAAAUGGAUGGAAAGAUGCCCAAAGCUAUUUUUGCUUCUUAGGAAGAAGUGUCACUGGUUCUUUUAGUAGCAAGAAGGCUGCAAGAAGGUCAAGGAUGAGGCUUACUGUCUUUGAAGCUAACAAUGAGCAAACUGGCUAUAUGUCAACCUAUUGGGACAACUAGUAUAUUAAGAAUGAAUGUAUGUGCUCCCAGCAAAGGAAUAUCUAACAUCAUAAAAGAUAAAUGCUGUUCUGAUUGUGAUAUAGUCUUCAAGAAUUUUGCAAGGUGUGAUAUCAAAGUAGUGGUAGAUGGCUGUAGUGGCAAAGUAGAAAAGGAAGAUGUGGAAGACAGUGGAAGGGAUGUCUAUGUCUAUGACAUAACUAUUAACAAUGACAUGAGAUUAAUUAAUUUUGUAGCAGUUAAGGACACAGUUGAAUAGCAUGGAAACUUUCUUUAAAAUGUUAUUAGGCGUAUAUGUCUAUCUACAGAGGAGGUUUCUAGUAAUCAAAUUAUAUAUUUUGUCUCAGGGCAAAAACUGGAAGCCUAAGAAUCGAUUAUGGAAUGACACACAAACGUGAUAAGAAAAUUCAGUAGACCAGUUAUAGAUAAAACACAACAUGCCGGAGGUA